rnacentral:rRNA from 1 species
AACGAACGCUGGCGGUAUGCCUAACACAUGCAAGUCGAACGAGACCUUCGGGACUAGUGGCGCACGGGUGCGUAAAGCGUGGGAACCUGCCCUUAGGUUCGGAAUAACUCCCCGAAAGGGGGGCUAAUAUCGGAUAAUGUCUUCGGACCAAAGAUUUAUCGCCUUUGGAUGGGCCCGCGUUGGAUUAGCUAGUUGGUAGGGUAAAAGCCUACCAAGGAGACGAUCCAUAGCUGGUCUGAGAGGAUGAUCAGCCACACUGGGACUGAGACACGGCCCAGACUCCUACGGGAGGCAGCAGUGGGGAAUAUUGGACAAUGGGCGAGAGCCUGAUCCAGCAAUGCCGCGUGAGUGAUGAAGGCCUUAGGGUUGUAAAGCUCUUUUACCCGGGAUGAUAAUGACAGUACCGGGAGAAUAAGCUCCGGCUAACUCCGUG